UUCCUUCCUUCCUUCCUUCCUUCCUUCCUUCCUCCCUCCCUCUCUCCCUCUCCUCUCUCUCUCUUCUCUCUCUCUCUCUUUCUCCUCCUCUUCCUCCUCCUCCUCCUCCUUCUUUUUCUUUUUGUUUCUGAGACCAGUAUCUCAGGUUGACCCUGAACUCCUGGCUGUUCAGCUUCAGUCUUCCCCACUCUGGGAUGCUGGGAUUGCAGGCACUUCCAUACUCAGCUGGACAGGUGCUUUUUCAUUAUGCAUACGUGUGUGCUUACACAGGAUAUUUGCAUGUGUCUGUGUGUGAAUCCUCAUAUAUCUUGCUCGCUUUUCUCCAUAUAACCGUGGAAGUCCUGGAACUCAUUCUGUAGACCAGACUUACCUACAAACUCAGGGCUGUGCCUGCUUCUGUCUCCUGAUUGCUCGUUAAAGGCCUCCACAGCAGUCCAUGUGAGCACUAGCCAUGUAAGCACGGGUGUGCUUGGGAGCCGAGAGUGAGCGUCAGACACCCUGGACCUGGAAUUUAACGUGGUACAUGGUGUACCCUCUCCUCCUCCUGGUGAUCUGAAACUCCCUCUCUCAUUCCUCCCCCUGGCUGGGAGACGUGCUGCCCUGUUUUCUCUCUGCCCAGCCUUUGGGCAAUCUGCAUUUAUUGUCAGGGCAGAGAACAAAUGGUAAGAUUUUGUUUAUAGAACUUGAAA
rnacentral:lncRNA from 1 species